GUCUGUCUCCUGCACACGCCCCACUGGGGAUCAAGCCCGCAACCCGUGCAUGUGCUCUAACAGGGAAUCAAACCGUCACCUCCUGUUUCAUAGGCCGAUGCUCAACCACUGGGCCACUGAGAAGUUCUCUACAUUUGUUCUAAGCCUCCUAUUUCCUGUGGGUCCGUAGUUAGAUCUAGAGCAAGCAUUGCAAACUCGUGGCCGGUGGGCCGCAUGCCUCGUUUAUUUAAACUUGCGGCAUGCCGGCUGCGAGUUUGGCAUGCUUGAUAGAGGCUCAAUUAGGUUCAGGGUGGAGGUACAGUAAUACUGCACAGGCAGUGCUGCGGCUUCCUGUUGUGGAGCUUCGACAGGCCCAUGUCUGGGUGCCCCAUCUUCGGUGACAUUAAGAUGAUAGGGAUCAGCUGUUGCCAGCCUGAUCCACUCAUUGUAAUGUUCCCCACCAACAACCACCUAAUGGCGUUAGCUCUCCCUUGGAGUUGUAAUUUUAAAAUGUCUUUGCCAACUCCAUAGCUGAUAAAUUGGACCUAUCUAUUCUAGUUGGUCAGUGUUAACUUGUUACUUAUUUCUCAAGUCACAGGAUUCCUCUCCGAUUCAUCUGCCCACCUCCUUCCUUUCCAGGCCUCCUCACAGGGUCUCAGUCAUCUCUGGUGCACUCCUAGUCGUGCCGGUCUCAUCCAGCUCUGUGGAUGGCUUGAUGCAGAAACUACUGCAUGCACAGCCCAGGAAUUGUCUCCGCAUUCCAGGCCACAGUCGGUACCAGGCCCGGGCCCUGACUCCAGCUCCCCACUGGAAUGACUGCUUUGCAUGGCAAGGUCAGCGAUGUUUCUGAAGCCGCCGGCCCUACAAGAAAGUGGCCAGGGUCACCGUGAAAACUCCAUGGACAGGCUGCACAGCCCCCAAUGGCACACCCUUUCUCUACCGUGGCCGGGGCUGCAGAAUGGGAGAAGGUUAGGGCAGCAGUAAGUCCGCUCAAUCCUAGUCACUUUUCAAUGUCCGGGUCCUCUUCCUAAGACACCCGAGUCCGUGUGGGCUAAGCCACGCGCAGUUUGUGGCACAGACACUGCUCUCCCUGCCACGUGGGGUCAUUGGCUUUGGGCCACUCUGUGCUUGUCCACUCUCCCUCCCCUCAGACUGAGUUAUUUCCCAGGAAGAGCCAAAGGCUGGAAACAAAUCCUCCUCAGUGGGGUCAGCCCAGAGGCCACAGAGACACGCCCAGGUCUGCCUGAAUCUCAGGAUGAGCACAGGUCAGCCUGGCCCGCGGGAACCUGCCCCGCCUGCCCAGUAACAGAAAGCAAUGAGUCGUACCCUCGGAGAGGGGCAGGGUGCCCCCAAAGAAUGUUUUUCCAAAAGAUGCUUUUUUGAAGGCAAACAAUGUAAGGACUGUUUUCAUAAUCCAGGUAUCUCUGUGAAAAUGUUGAAAAUCUCCCUAGGAAUUCCUCAGGCAAGGCCGACCUGAGAAACGCCGUGGACAGCUGCCCAGCCAGCCCUCCGGGACCACGCAGGACACCCACAGGCACACCUUUCCGUCCCCGCCCCCCAUGAGAGACUCCCUGGAGCCACAGGCACUGAUCAAGGACAUGCUUUGGAGGCCCCUGCCCAGGAGCUGAGCCGCCUGACCAGCAUUGUCUUCAGCAAGAGGCACGCCGGUGCCAGGAGUUACCACGUCAGCACUGCACACACGCAGCCCAGCUUACCAGCCACCCACUCCACCCAGGAGGCAGCUUCCCACCCGGAGGGGUUUGAAAAGCCACAGACCCACCUGUCCCCUCCACCUGCCCCAGACUCCCCAGCAUCCUGCCUGUGUCCCAUUCUCCUGGGAGAGGAAGGCGCCCUCUUUUCCAAACGGGCUCAGGUGGCAUGAGUUAAGCCACUGCCCGUUUGAGGGCGGUGCCCCCUGUCUGCCAAGGGCCCCGAGGCUCCCUGGGCCUGCUCAGAUGCACCUGCCUCUUCCCCUUCACGGACCGAGCUCAGACAGCUGGGCACACAUGCUGCACCGGGAGCUUCCUUCCUGGCCAACUGUGGAAACCACAGCUGGUUCGUGAUCGCCUCUCAGGACCCGCUUCCGCCUCUGAAAGUCACCUUCGCCCUUGCCUGCUGUGGCUGCACAGGAAGUCCUGGCUCUGAAUACUGCUCCAAAGAGCAGCAAGGGAACAGCCGACGGCCACCAUCCUCUACGUCCAGUCAGCCCUACAUCACCACAUCGCUUAGGAACAUCUUGUUUAAUUAAAACGUGCAUUUUAA